AUACUCAAACCCCAACCCCUGCCCGCCCCAGCCAGGAGGGGAGACGGUUGGGAGUGGGAGGCCUCGGCGCUGUUCUCUGGAUGCAACUGAGAUUGCCGCUAGAGGGUGACGCCUGGGUCGGAAUCCAAGGAUUUGUGAAGAGGUGACCCAAAUUUCAAGACAAUGUUGGAUGCAAACGGAUUUGCCAGCAACUGCAUCACUGUCAAAACCAGCUCUGCCCGUGUCUUCCGAAGAUACCAAGUGAAAUACAUGUAGAUGGGAUUUACAUCUGAAAAACCAAGGCAAGAGGCCAUGGGAAGGGACGGAGGUGGAACAGGACUGGACAGAAGCUGAUAAAUGGUUGUUGCUGAGUACUGGGCAGAUAGGGGGGCCAGUGUGGGUUGUGGCGUGAGGCAGGAAGCUCUGCAGAGUUCCUUGGUCAAAAGGAUUAAUUACAAAAGAACUCCAUGAACACCGAGAAGAAGAGAAGGGAAUCCUGGCAUUUAAAGCCACAAAGAAACUUGAUAUGGUCUUGUCUCCUUCUCUCAAUUGACAGUGAGAAACUGAAGACCAGAGAGGGUGAGUGGUUUACUCAGUUUGGCACAACUGACCCCAACCUAGCCCUCCAUGAGGACUGAGCGCAUGAGAGAUCCUGAGCCACAGCCGCCCAGCCCUGCUCCUCUCGAAUUUCUGACCUACAGGAACUGCAAGAAGUAAUGAAAGACUGCUGUUUAAAGCCACUGCAUUUUGGCAUGAUUUGUUAUGCAGUCGUAGAUAACCAGAAAACAUCGGAUUUACAUUUUAAGGAUUACUUCAUGCACAUAAAAGAAAACGCAACUACAGUGGACCCUGAACAACGUAGCUAUGGCCUGCAGCCACUGAAG
rnacentral:lncRNA from 10 species